CUGCAUGCUAGCCUGGGCAACAAGAGUGAGACCCUGUCUCAACAACAACAAAUUAAAAAAAUAAAAAGACUGUUGUGACAAUGUAAUUGACAGAGAAUGAUUAGUUUUAAAAGUCAGAAUCGAGAUGGUAUCGUAGGUAGUUUUUUGACUCACUGUCAACAAAACCACUCCCUUAGAAGAAAUACAUUAAUGCACUGCAUAAUGACAUUUCAGUCAACAAUGGACCACAUAUAUAAUGGUUGCCCCAUAAGAUUAUAAUGGAGCAUAUUUAGAACCCUGAUAUAUGGCACUCGAUAUUGGCAUUGCAAAUAAAGUAGGGGAAAUGAUUGAUAUUCAGUAAUGGUUCUGGGACACUUGGUUUUCCAUGUGAGAAAAUAUAUACAAAUAAAAAUAUAUACCAUUUAGGUUUGUGUGAGUACACUCUAUGAUGUUCACAGAAUGGUGAAUUGCCUAACUGUGCAUUUCUCCAAACAUAUACUUGUAAUUAAGCCAUGCAUGACUGUAAUAAUUUAUUUACUCUAGAACACAGAAUCAGAAAUCCUAUUGUGCCAGAGCUAAAUUUGAUGCCUUCCUUUAGGGAUUGGCCCUAUAAACAUUCUCCUAGAGGGUGGCAGUUCACAGUUAUACCUACUCUUCAAACCCCUUCCCAUGAGCCUAGCCCGUGGGCGCUUGGGAAAUGUCCAGUGCGCUUCUUUAUCAUGGCCGACCCUAAGUGAGGGCGGCCAGCGGGUGAGGGUUUGGCCACUGCCGCUGCUCUCCGAGGCCGCAGGGCGGGAGCCGUCGACCGCGGCUGGGAGAACGAACGAGGCGGAGAUUAAGAGAAAAAUGAAGAACACACUAUGAUGAGGAGGAGGCAGCAGCAGCGGCAGCAGGAGUAUGUUCUAGAAGCUGGUAUCUACAACUGAAGAGCCAGAUGUCCUGAUCAGGAAGAGAAAGAAGAUUCAGCAAAGGAGACGGAGAAGUAGGCACCGAAAAGAUCUGGGAGAAGGAAACCACAAGCUGGGUGUCAUGGAAACAAGGGAAAAUAGUAUCAAGAAGGAGGGAGAUCAUGCAAAAGGAGGUCACUCACAGGCUACUUUCUGCUGACAAGAUAAAAGUAAUUUUCAUCUCUUAGCGACUGAGAAUGGCGGGAGAAAGUAAGGGGGAAAAAUGAUAAUUUUGAAUGAAGGAUAUCGGACAGCAAAUUCUCUAAAAGCCUUCUUUCACUUAACCUCAUUAAUCAGCCCUUGUCUUCCAUGUCUUCCCAUUAGAGAUAAUUCAUACUUCUUGAAUAAAAGAAAGGCCAGUGUCACACAAAACGAAAUAAAAAGUAUCAGUUUUGCGUCAUUUUGGUGAAAUAAAAAUUUAGACAGUUUCAAGUCUAUACAACAAAGAGGAUGGAAAGAGAAGAAAAGGGGAUGCAUUGCAGAGCAAGUCAAGUUUUCAAAGCAAUGAUCUUGAACCUUCAAACUAACCCGAGUGAAAAGGAGGGUGGGGCUAGAUGUAGCACUUGUUGCUCUUUUUACUCUACCUAGUUUCAGAAAGAAAUCAUGGCAGCGUAAACUGUGUAUCUGAGUAAAUCAUUCAACAGCAUUUAUAGAGCAAAAUUGAAAAAGGUGAGCAGGAAGUGGAAUGACCUAAUCUGGGAGAGAUGAGUGGGUAGAUCCCCUUCAAGGAAAGAUUUAGGGAGGGGUAAGAGCCAGGGAGUGUUGGGGGCUUCUGUGGCUUUGGAAGCCUGAGUGGAGCUGCCUCCUGCCUGGGCAUGGGGGAGGGGGGUCCUUUGGCUCUGGAGGGAUGGA